rnacentral:rRNA from 1 species
GUUUCCCGUAGGUGAACUGCGGCUGGAUCAUUA